CUUUUUUUUUUUUUUUUUAUUAGCUAGCUAUAUCACUGUUUGCAAAUUAAGUUGGUAAUGGGUAAUGUUUAAUGGCAACAAAAAAAAUGUGCUUAUUUUCUGAAUUUUCAAUUUAUGUGUAUUGUAUCCAUCUCAUGAAUUUACUAAGUGUAGCAAACAAGUGCAUGGAGUAGUUUCAAAAUUUGGAUGAUAUAUAUUAACCAUUUUCAAUGUGUAUCGAUGUAAAUAUGCCUAAUUUGGUUGUCUUAUACAAGUAAAUUUAGGCUAGAUUAGCAGCACUGUUAGAGAGUAGAAAUUUUCUAUCAUAAUUAUUAUGAUUAUUCCUUGUCCCCCAAAAAAUCCUAUUUUUUGUUUCUGGCCAAAGUAAAGAAUAAAAAAAUGAAAGUAAUGUUUCUAUAAAAGAAGAAGACGAGCUUAUCAAUCUCCAAGGCCAAAUUGUGUUGUAUUUCUUCUGCAAUGACCAAGAGAUAGAAUUAUUACCCAAGAUUUGAAGCUGUAUCUUUGGAUCUUGCCACAUUUGAAAGUACAUGUUGGAAAAUAACCACUUUCUUUAUCUACAUGAGACCUUUGGAAACAGAAUUCUGAUAAAGACUUCUGUCUUGAACCUACCAGUUAUUCCCUUUUAUAUAUGCACAUCGAAUGUUUCAAUUGUGUGGCAGCACAUGUAAUGUGUCACAUUGACAUUAAAUGAGUAUGCCUUCAGGUAUAUGCUGUACAAAGAUAUGACUUCAGUUGUUUUUUUUGUUAGAAAGAUAUAUUCUUGUACAUACAUGUAUACAAGGUUUGGAAGUGGAGAGCUGAGUUCCAAAGGACCCAAAAUUACAUUGACUCAAAUGUCAGUUAUGAUCACCAUAGUCUAUUGUGAAUAUGUUUCACCUUACUGUUGACAAGUGAUUUAUAAAGCUAGAAUAGCUGUUUCAGUGAUAUAUAUAUUAAGGUACAGGGUAGCUGGUGUGUCAGAAUGCUCAUUAAGGUACAGGGGUACCUGGUGUGUCAGAAUGCUCAUUAAGGUA